UUGAAAAGAGUUUAAAUGAUAUUUUGAUAGAGAUUAUUGUAUAUCUCACUAUCAGAUAGAAUUAAACCUAUGGGAUCACACAACAAAGGGAUUAGGCCUGGAAUAAGCAAUUAAGCUUAUGAUGUGUUAAUUGAGUUUAAAAAAAUUUGAUUAGGUUCAUGGUAACCUUGCUAGCACAUAAUUGGACCCAAUUCCUCUUUCCGUUGGGAUUACUUAUUUGACAAGAUAAUUUAAAUUUAAUU
rnacentral:lncRNA from 1 species